GGGCAUUCCGGAGGCUGAGUGCAUGAAUGAUAACAAGCACUACUGCUGUACGGAAACUCAAAAUUUUCCAGUACAGGCGCUGCCCCUAGAGUUCCCAGUACAUCAACACCAGCCUGAGGAGCCGGCCUAGUACUUCCCACCACUGAAACCGCAGUCCAGGCAGCAAGAAAAGAUGGAGCCAUCACACCCGAGUCAAGAAAGCAACACCAUUCCUCAAGUUGUGGACCAUUAUCCAAGGGAAAAUCCCCCUCAAACUAAGGAAGACAGCUACCUUGAAUCGCACAGCUGCAAGAAUAUGAACUUUGCCAACAACCUGAGACAGCCUGAAAGCAGCUCCUUACCUAACCGAGCCUCCAGAUGAGACCCAGUCCUGGCUGACAUCUUGACUGCAGCCUUGAGAGGACCCAGUUAAGCUGUGCCUCGACUCCUGAGCCACAGAAACUGUGAGAUAAUAGAUGGAUGUUAUUUUAAGCUGCUAAGUUUCUGAUAAUUUGUUACACAGUGUAGAGAACUAAUAUACUGGUACUACUCUCUAUUUUCAACAAUAUCUAUUCUCAACACAGCAGCCAGAGGAUCCUGUUAAUAUGUACGUC
rnacentral:lncRNA from 1 species